GUUACUCAUCGCAUCACAUGGAUGCCUCGACUCUGUACUCCGACGAAGGACGUGGCCAGCUGCGAUAAGCCUCGGUGAGCUGCUAGGCAAGCGCUAUCAGCCGGGGAUUUCCGAAUGGGGAAACCUAUCUUCCGUAAUGGGAAGAUGUCUGGUCUUGUUGUUGUCUUUAAAAAGGUUUUGAGAAAUGGUUGGAUGGCUGGAUAGCUGGAUGGUUCGCAAGCGAAUAUAGUGAGCUCAGUGCCACUUUAGUAACCAUCCAACCAUCCAACCAUUUAACCUAAGGACUUGAAUAUAAUUGAUAUAUUAUCGAAGCCAACAACAAGACCAGACGGUCACUCUGCGAACUGAAACAUCUCACGUAGCAGAGGAAAAGAAAUUAAUAAAGAUUCCCUUAGUAGUGGCGAGCGAAAAGGGAAAAGCCUAAACCUGGCUCCACUUUUGAUUUCAAUUAAUCUUUUGGUGUUUGAAUUUGUUCUUUGGGUUUAAUUGAUAAUUGACAAUUGAAAAUUGACAAUGGGUUUUAAAAUUGAAGACAUCAGACCCUGAGUCGCUUUAGAAUUGUCAAUUGUCCAUUAUCCAUUGUCCAUUAUUCAUUGUCAAUUAAACCUCAAGGACUUAAGCACCAUUAUCUAAGUUUAUUGAAAUCAAGAGCGGAGUCAGGGGUUGUAGGACCUCGACAUCUGAUUCUAUCUGUAUAGGCAAACGACCCUGGAACGGGCGGCCAAAGAGGGUGAGAGCCCCGUCGCCGAAAUAUUGAUAGACGGUAGAGUGUUCCUGAGUAGGAUCGGACACGUGUAAUCCGGUCUGAAUCUGGGUGGACCACCAUCCAAGGCUAAACAGGUACAGAGAUCAAUAGCGGAAAGUACCGCGAGGGAAAGGUGAAAAGCACCCCGAAAGGGGGAUGAAAUAGUCUCUGAAAUGUGAUGCGUUCAAAGAAUUGGAGCGCCCCGCUUUUGGUUUCAAUGUAGUUUGUUGAUGUAAAUAUAUUCUUGAGGUUUAAUUGAUAAUUGACAAUUGAAAAUUGACAAUGGGUUUUGAAAUUGAAGACAUCAGACCCUGAGUCGCUUUAGAAUUGUCAAUUGUCCAUCCGUCGCGGAUCGGCCGCGCCGAGACGGAUUAUCCAUUGUCAAUUUAAUCUCAAGGAUUUAAGCACCAUCAUCUAAGUUAAUUGAAAUCAAAAGCGGGGCGUGACAGUGUGCCUUUUGCAUAAUGAGCCAACGAGUUUGUCGUCUGUGGUCGGCUAAGGGAUUUAUACCCGGAGCCGGAGCGAAAGCGAGUCCGAAUAGGGCGCAUACGCUUCGCGUACAGUUAACACGUCCCCUACGGGGACUCUUAACAAUUAACACGCUCAUCCCGCUUGGGCGGGAUUCGCUUUUUACAAUUAACAAUCAAAUGUUAAAUGUUAAAAGCGAGCGCAGCGAGCGUGUUAAUUGUUAACUGUUAAUUGUCCGCGGAGCGUUGAUCGCAGGCGCAAGACCCGAAACCGGGUGAGCUACCUAUGGGCAGGGUGAAGUGCCGCGGAAGCGGCAUGGAGGCCCGAACUCACUGAUGCCACAAGAUCAGGAGAUGACCUGUGGGUAGGGGUGAAAAGCCUAUCGAACCCGGAGAUAGCUGGUUCUCCUCGAAAUGCCUUUAGGGGCAGCCUCAUAGUACACGUCAGGGGGUAGAGCUACUGUUUGGAUGCGGGGGUCUUCUCGACCUACUAAAUCCUGACAAACUCCGAAUACCUGACCUUUGGCUAUGGGAGUGAGUCUGCGACAGCUAACUGCCGUAGACGAAAGGGAAACAACCCAGAUCACUUGCUAAGGUCCCAAAUCAUAGUUCAGUGGAGAAGGUGGUACAGGUGCAUGGACAACCAGGAGGUUGGCUUAGAAGCAGCCAUCCUUUAAAGAAAGCGUAACAGCUCACUGGUCGAUUGCACUUGUGCGCCGAAAAUGUAACGGGGCAAAACUAUGAACCGAAGCAGUGAAUGCCUGACUCCGCUUUUGAUUUUAAAGUAGUGUGUUGUUGUUUUAUUUGUUCUGUGGGUUUAAUUGAAAAUUGACAAUUGAUAAUUGACAAUUGGGUUCGUGAUUAAGGGUAUCAAACCUUUGAGUCGCUUUAGAAUUGUCAAUUGUCAAUUAUACAUUGUCAAUUAAACCUCAAGGACUCAAACAACAACAUCAAAGUUGAUUGAAAUCAAAAGUGGAGUCAGGUGUAGUAGAGGAGCGUUCCGUUCAGCAGUGAAGCAGUACUGUGAGGUAUUGUGGAGCGGACGGAAGUGAGAAUGUUGGCAUGAGUAACUACUAGGCAGGUGAAAAACCUGCCCGCCGAAUCCCCAAGGUUUCCCACGCAACGGUAAUCGGCGUGGGGUUAGUCGGUCCUAAGGUCAGGCCGAAAGGCGUAGCCGAUGGACAACAGGUCAAUAUUCCUGUACCGCAUGGAGAUCGUCAGAGGGUGUCGUUUGAUAAUUUCGCGAGCCUCUGGUCUGCACCACCUUGCUCUCAAAAAAACGGAAAAGUGAAAAGGGAAAGUGGAAAACUUUUCCCUUUACCACUUUCCACUUUCCGUUUUCUCUGAGGGUAGAGUGGUGUAGAUCAUGUUCACGGAAAAGGAUAAUGUCACUCUAGGAGCGGUGUGACGGAACGGGAGGACCAGAGCGUGUGUAUUGACUGCACGUGGAACGCAGGAAACGUUGAUCCCGGGAGGUAAAUCCCCCGGGAGAGUUGACUGCGGAUCCCAAUUACCUCGCGCAAGCGGGAUGAGUCUGACUUCUUCUGUUUCCUAGAAAACUAUCGCUCAUAGAGCUCCGUGUGACCGUACCGCAAACCAACACCGGUGGGGUGGUCGAGUAGACCAAGGCGAACGGGUAAUGUCGUGUCAAGGAACUCGGCAAAAUAGCGUCCGUAACUUCGGAAUAAGGACUACCAGCCUCGUUUUUGGUUUCAAUGAAGCGCGUUGUUGUUUCAUUUGUUCUGGAGGUUUAAUUAAAAAAUUGAAAAUUGACAAUUGAUAAUUGACAAUUGGGUUCGCGAUUUGCGACAUCAAACCAUGAGUCACUUUAGAAUUGUCAAUUGUCCAUUAUCCAUUGUCAAUUAAGCCUCAAGGACUUAAAUAACAUCGUAUUAAUUAAUUGAAAUCGAAAUCGGGGCUGGUUGCAACAAAAGAGCCCAGGCGACUGUUUACCAAAAACACAGGUCCCUGCAAAGUCGUAAGACUACGUAUAGGGGCUGAUGCCUGCCCAGUGUCAGAAGGUUACGUGAGGGGGUGCAAGCCUCUGAUCUAAGCCCUGAUGAACGGCGGCCGUAACUAUAGAAAUGACAGUUAACAGUUAACAUUUAACAGUUAACUUUGGCUGUAAUUGGAUCAGUUGUAGUUACGUAAAUAAAUUUGGCUAUAUGCUGGAACAUCCCAUGUAUCCCUUAAGCCGCAAGGUAUAGGGUGGGGACAAUCAGCAGGAAAGACCCUUAGAGCAAUCGAAGGGAAUCCUCAGAGACUACACGCCAGACACUGUCUGAACCUUGAUUAGAAGGAUUACAAGGAUUAACUUGAUUUCAAGAUAAUCCUGUCCAUCCUUUAAUCAAGUGAAUCAUGGUUCAGACAAUGAUGAUAUAGUCCGAUCUCAUAGGCGACUAUGAGCACUCAUAAUCAGCUACCAAGAUUAUGAGGACUUUAUUCUUUGAAUGAGGGAACAUAUGAACGGUCCUAAGGUAGCGAAAUUCCUUGUCGGGUGGUUGUAUAACUUGCCCGAGUAGAGAGUAAUCUCUAUGUGUUGAGGAAUACCCGGUAAACAGAUUUCGAGUUCCUAAUUUAGACCAUUCAUCCGGCUAUGUCUGGCUAUGCCAAGACUUCGCCGUGAUUCAUUCAACACAAAACGUGGCUAUAUGCUGGAAAAUCCGUGUAUGGAGCACUACGUAUCAACAAUUGACAAUUAACAAUUGACAAUUGACAAUGCUAAUUGGGUACGUGACAAUGUGCCUCCUGCGGACAAUCAGCAGGAAAUUAUUUCCUUUGAAGCAUCAUGUGCAAUCAGUUGUAUCAACAGCGUGCCCUAGCGAAAGCAGCAUCAUUUAUGAGAAGGAUAGAUCCAAGUUAUCUUGAAGAUCCAGACACACUAGGGUUUUAUCGCCAAUUAAUUACUGCGAGAACAAUUGCUCAGAUGAGAGCUGUUUGCUUAGAAUACAAAGUAUACAAGGGAAUGAGAUCCUCAGAGACUACAUGCCACGCUCCAUUGUCUUAAACCUAGAUUAACUAGGAUUAAAGGAUUAACUUGAUUAAUCCUGUCUAUCCAUUAAUCAAGUGAAUCAAGGUUCAGAUAUGGAUGAUGAUAUAGUCCGAUCCCCAUGGCGACAUGGGGGGUUGUGAAAUCGAGCAACCGAUAAAAAACGAUCGUUGACGAACAGCAAAUAACUGACAACACGCGUGCUUCGCACGCUUUCAACACGCUUCGCUUUCAACAAUCAACAAUGUUGAAAGUGAGUGAAGCGAACGUGUUGAAUGUUGAUAGUUGAUUGUUACGCGCUUUGGCGCGUUGAAGUUCCGACCCGCACGAAUGGUAUAACGGUCUGGGCACUGUCUCGACGCGACGCCCGGUGAAAUUGCAGUCCCGGUACAAAUGCCGGGUUGAUUACGGAAGGACGAAAAGACCCUAUGAAGCUUUACUAUACGCUGGCAUUGCAGAGUUGGUAUGUGCGUGCAGGAUAGGUGGGAGACUUUGAAGCCCCCGCGUCAGCGGAGGUGGAGUCAUCCUUGAGAUACCACCCUUACAUUCUGAUUCUGCUCACUCUUUAUAUGUACACAUAUGAGGGGGACAGUGCUUGCUGGGUAGUUUAACUGGGGCGGUUGCCUCCUAAAAUGUAACGGAGGCGUGCAUAAGGUCACCUAGCGCCGGAUGGAAAUCGGCGUGAUUGUAUAAUCGCAUAAGGUGGCCUAACUGUGAGGCUUACAGGCCGAGCAGAGACGAAAGUCGGCGAUAGUGAUCCGGUGUCCGAGCAGUUUUACAUUGCUCAUACCACGUGGGUGGGACAUCGCUCAACGGAUAAAAGUUACUCUAGGGAUAACAGGCUGAUCGCUCCCAAGCGCCCACAGCGACGGAGCGGUUUGGCACCUCAAUCGGGGUGCUGCAGAAGUAAUUCUGCACCAAAAAUUCGGCUUAUAACGGUGAAACCGUAGCGAGCACUGUGGAAAGUUUGCUCGUCGGCAAUACCGUGGGAAGCCUCCUUCGAACAGUUAACAA
rnacentral:rRNA from 1 species